CUACGGGUGGCUGCAGUGGGGAAUAUUGCGCAAUGGAGGAAACUCUGAUGCAGCAACGCCGCGUGGAGGAUGACACUUUUCGGAGCGUAAACUCCUUUUAUAUAGGAAGAAGAUGACGGUACUAUAUGAAUAAGCGCCGGCUAACUCCGUGCCAGCAGCCGCGGUAAUACGGAGGGCGCAAGCGUUACUCGGAAUCACUGGGCGUAAAGAGCGUGUAGGCGGAUUAAAAAGUCAGAAGUGAAAUCCUAUAGCUUAACUAUAGAACUGCUUCUGAAACUCUUAAUCUAGAAUAUGGGAGAGGUAGAUGGAAUUUCUGGUGUAGGGGUAAAAUCCGUAGAGAUCAGAAGGAAUACCGAUUGCGAAGGCGAUCUACUAGAGCAUUAUUGACGCUGAGACGCGAAAGCGUGGGGAGCAAACAGGAUUAGAUACCCUGGUAGUC
rnacentral:rRNA from 1 species